rnacentral:rRNA from 1 species
AGAACGAACGCUGGCGGCGCGUCUUAAGCAUGCAAGUCGAACGGCAAGAGGUAGCAAUACCUCCUAGAGUGGCGGACUGGUGAGUAACACGUGGGUGACAUACCCUUCAGAUGGGGAUAGCUAUUAGAAAUAGUAGAUAAUACCGAAUACGAGCACAGGGGUUAGAGAUCUGUGAGGAAAGGAGCUAAGGCUCCGCUGAAGGAAUGGCCUGCGGCCCACUAGCUAGUUGGUGAGGUAAGAGCCCACCAAGGCGAUGAUGGGUAUCCGGCCUUAGAGGGUGAACGGACACAUUGGGACUGAGAUACGGCCCAGACUCCUACGGGAGGCAGCAGCUAAGAAUAUUCCGCAAUGGACGAAAGUCUGACGGAGCGACGCCGCGUUGGAUGAAGAAGGCCGGAAGGUUGUAAAAUCCUUUUGAAACUGAAGAAUAAGCGUUGUAGGGAAUGACAGCGUGGUGACAGUAGGUUUUGAAUAAGCAACGGCUAAUUACGUGCCAGCCGCUGC